AAGUCCUUGCAAAAGGGGCCAACCAAAGAAGAAUCAGACAGAUCUCACCGUGCAAAAGAGAUAUGAAGGGACUAGGUCUGCCCAGAGAAAACUUAAAGAAAAGGAUUCUAAAAAGCUUCAUACUAUUAAAGAUUACGGAAAAGAGUUGGUAGGGGCUAAAGUCAAAGUCUGGUGGCCCCGGGAUAGAAGGUUAUAUACACUGAUGAUGAUGUAGAAAUCUUGAAUCUCAGAUGUGAGCGCUGGGAAUUGCUUGAAGAGGUUCCAGUCAAAGAAGGGCUUGUAACUGACUGACUUUGCUUUCUGAUGGAGUAAAGAGGAAGAGGAAGGGAGAUGAGCACAAAA